rnacentral:rRNA from 1 species
UGAGGAAUAUUGGUCAAUGGGCGGGAGCCUGAACCAGCCAAGCCGCGUGAGGGAGGAAGGCCCUAUGGGUCGUAAACCUCUUUUGUCAGGGAACAAAAGCGAGUAUGUAUACUAGUCUGAGUGUACCUGAAGAAAAAGCAUCGGCUAACUCCGUGCCAGCAGCCGCGGUAAUACGGAGGAUGCGAGCGUUAUCCGGAUUUAUUGGGUUUAAAGGGUGCGUAGGCGGCGGUGCAAGUCAGCGGUAAAAGCCCGGGGCUCAACCCCGGCGAGCCGUUGAAACUGCAGUGCUAGAGAAGGCGAGAGGUACGCGGAAUGCGCAGUGUAGCGGUGAAAUGCUUAGAUAUUGCGCAGAACUCCGAUUGCGAAGGCAGCGUACUGGCGCCUGACUGACGCUGAGGCACGAAAGCGUGGGGGAUCGAACAGGAUUAGAUACC